UCCUGCCACACCCAACAUGGCUGCCCCACUGGAGUUGUUCCCUGCAGCUCUCCCAGCCUUGUUUGCUCAAGCUCACCAGGACCUGACCCAGAAACAUUUCACCCCCACUCCCUUCAGGGGAAGACAGAAGCCCCAAUGGAGGGGUGCCAUGCUCUCUGCUGGACUCCACAAGGCCACGCAGGCAACCAGUGUAGUGCUGUAAUGAACAGGGGGCAAGGACAAACGUCCCUGGGUCCUCAAGGGAGGAAGGCCCAUUGGCUGGGUGACAGCUCACUCUUUGCUCUCUCCGUCCCAGUUCCCUGACUCUCUGGCACACUACUGGCUCCUGAUCAAAGAACUCCUCUCAGCUUCAAGCGAAUGAAUCCUCUCAAAAGGGAGAGGGGAGGAGAGUCAGGCAGCAUCCCUCCUUCUCCUGGCAUCUUUUAUGGAGCCUGGUUCUUUCUCCAGCCCCUCUGAUGUUGAGCUAUACUGUGGAAGAAGAAUCUUACAUAUGGAUAAAGUGGUCUAAGAUAGAUAAAUAUUAUGUAAAGGAUAACUUCUAUUGACUACUUUCUUGGAUACAUGGGCCAACCUUAGAAAGAAGUUAGCACCAAAUGAAUCUUCUUUGGCAUUCGUCCAAAAUUAUGAGCCUUAUCAUUUACAUCAAUAUUUUGGAGAUUUUGAAAUAUGGAGAAUAAAUAUGGAAAAGGCAUUAUAAAGAUGUUGUUAAAGAAGGUGUUGCUAUAGCAUAUAUUGAAAUUGUUAAUAUCAGAUUGAGACCACUUUUCUAUGGCACUGUAUCAAUGAUAAGAAUAAGCACUGUGUGGUCCUUGCAAUGGGCUGCCCACACUCUAUACACAAAGGUUUCUUGUGAAUCUGGAUGGUUAAUAAAAUGUUGGAUGUGUAAA